rnacentral:sRNA from 1 species
GCAGAAAACAAGGGACUUGACGGUAA